rnacentral:rRNA from 1 species
GGAUCGCAUGAUCCGGCCGGAAAAGAUUUAUCGGUGUGAGAUGGACCCGCGUCUGAUUAGCCAGUUGGCAGGGUAACGGCCUACCAAAGCGACGAUCAGUAGCCGGCCUGAGAGGGUGAACGGCCACAUUGGGACUGAGACACGGCCCAAACUCCUACGGGAGGCAGCAGUGGGGAAUAUUGCACAAUGGGGGAAACCCUGAUGCAGCGACGCCGCGUGAGUGAAGAAGUAUUUCGGUAUGUAAAGCUCUAUCAGCAGGGAAGAAAAUGACGGUACCUGACUAAGAAGCCCCGGCUAACUACGUGCCAGCAGCCGCGGUAAUACGUAGGGGGCAAGCGUUAUCCGGAUUUACUGGGUGUAAGGGGAGCGUAGACGGCCAGACAAGUCAGAAGUGAAAGCCCAGGGCUCAACCCUGGGACUGCUUUUGAAACUGCCGGGCUGGAGUGCAGGAGAGGUAAGCGGAAUUCCUAGUGUAGCGGUGAAAUGCGUAGAUAUUAGGAGGAACACCAGUGGCGAAGGCGGCUUACUGGACUGUAACUGACGUUGAGGCUCGAAAGCGUGGGGAGCAAAUAGGAUUAGAUACCCUGGUAGUCCACGCCGUAAACGAUGAAUAUUAGGUGUCGGUG